UACGUAGGUGGCAAGCGUUGUCCGGAUUUACUGGGCGUAAAGAGCGCGCAGGCGGUUGAUUAAGUCGAAUGUGAAAGCCCCCGGCUCAACUGGGGAGGGUCAUUCGAUACUGUUCGACUCGAAGGCAGGAGAGGGAAGCGGAAUUCCCGGUGUAGUGGUGAAAUGCGUAGAUAUCGGGAGGAACACCAGUGGCGAAGGCGGCUUCCUGGCCUGUUCUUGACGCUGAGGCGCGAAAGCUAGGGGAGCAAACGGG
rnacentral:rRNA from 1 species